rnacentral:tRNA from 1 species
UAGCCUAGUGAUUAAGGCUAUGGAUUGCCAAUCCGGAAAAGGCAGGUUCGAUUCCCGU